UACGGGGGGGGCAAGCGUUGUUCGGAAUUACUGGGCGUAAAGGGCUCGUAGGCGGCCAACUAAGUCAGACGUGAAAUCCCUCGGCUCAACCGGGGAACGACGCAUGAAACUGGCAAGCUAGAGUACCAAAGAGGGUGGUGGAAUUCCCGGUGUAGCGGUGAAAUGCGUAGAUAUCUGGAGGAACACCGGUGGCGAAGGCGGCAUUCUGGACCGAAACUGACACUGAGGCGCGAAAGCCAGGGGAGCAAACGGG
rnacentral:rRNA from 1 species